UGUUCAUCAUUGCAGGGAGCCAGUCACCGACUAAGAAGAAAGACUUUCUGCCAAAUAAAACUUGUUGGUUCAUAAACAAGAGAUUUAACAAACAAUGGAACUUACCUACAAGGCUUGUUUUGAGUGACUGCAAGAUGAGUACGUCUCUGCAUCUGUCUGCCAGAAUCCUCAAAGUUUAUACAGAGGCCUUAACUUGGACCAGUCAUGUACACCGUCAAGAUGGUCUCAAGAACACAGUGCUCUCUCAAGGCUGUGUCCUUGAAAAUGGCUCUCCCUCUGUGGGAAUGCAAACGUACCUGGCAAUUAAACUAGCACAAGGUGGUGAUUUUGUUCUCCCCAAUAAAUGGAAGAAGAAAUCAUUCAAGAGUCUAAGUUAAGAAAGGAGCAGAAAUAAAUAGAAAAGAGUACUUGGAAACGAAUUAUAUUUACCAAAUUAUGUUUGCUGUACUAUUAAUUCUAUGAGAUAUUAUUUCGUAUGCCAGGAAAAAACAACCUCAAUAAUUAAGCUGAAGAAAUGUUGAGUUAAACCAGAUAACAGAUCACUCAAAUGCCAGUCUUCUGAGAGCCUUUAAUAUUCAGUGCAUGCUAUAAAGAUCCUGUAAGUAGAUACUCUACAGGAACAUUCCCAAAUUCACUCAACUGGGAAACAUUUUUCUUGUGGAGCACUGUGAAGAAUUAAGGUUCUGAAGUACACGCUUUGUGGAAUGCUCUACUUGGAAGAUAAGGAAUCACUGAAGUUCAGAGUCUGUAUUCUCUUUAUCUUCGAAGAAUUAAGUCCUGGAACAUAAUGAUGUGUAAUAAAUAUUCAAAAA
rnacentral:lncRNA from 1 species